rnacentral:rRNA from 1 species
CUACGGGAGGCUGCAGUGAGGAAUAUUGCACAAUGGGGGGAACCCUGAUGUAGCAACGCCGCGUGGAGGAUGACGCAUUUCGGUGUGUAAACUCCUUUUAUAUGUCAAGAAAAUGACGGUAGCAUAUGAAUAAGCACCGGCUAACUCCGUGCCAGCAGCCGCGGUAAUACGGAGGGUGCAAGCGUUACUCGGAAUCACUGGGCGUAAAGGAAGCGUAGGCGGGUUGGAAAGUCAGGUGUGAAAUCCUACAGCUUAACUGUAGAACUGCACUUGAAACUUCUAAUCUAGAGUAUGGGAGGGGGAGAUGGAAUUAGGGGUGUAGGGGUAAAAUCCGUAGAUAUCACUAGGAAUACCUAAAGCGAAGGCGAUCUCCUGGAACAUUACUGACGCUAAGGCGUGAAAGCGUGGGGAGCAAACAGGAUUAGAUACCCUUGUAGUC